GUGCUUGUUUCAACAACACAUAUGCUAAAAUUGGAAUGAUACAGAGAAAACUAGCAUGGCCUGUAAGGAUGACAUGUAAAUUUGUGAAGUGUUCCAUAAAAUA
rnacentral:snRNA from 1 species